rnacentral:rRNA from 1 species
GUGGGGAAUAUUCCGCAAUGGACGAAAGUCUGACGGAGCAACGCCGCGUGAGUGAUGAAGGUUUUCGGACUGUAAAGCUCUGUUGUUUAGGACGAAAGUGCCUGUUGCAAAUAGUUACAGGUAUUGACGGUACUGAACGAGGAAGCCACGGCUAACUACGUGCCAGCAGCCGCGGUAAUACGUAGGUGGCAAGCGUUGUCCGGAAUUAUUGGGCGUAAAGAGCAUGUAGGCGGGAAUCGAAGUCUGUUGUGAAAAUGCGGGGCUCAACCCCGUAUUGCGAUGGAAACUGGUUUUCUUGAGUGCAGGAGAGGAAAGGGGAAUUCCCAGUGUAGCGGUGAAAUGCGUAGAUAUUGGGAGGAACACCAGUGGCGAAGGCGGCCACCUGGACCGGUAUUGACGCUGAGGUGCGAAAGCGUGGGGAGCAAACAGGAUUAGAUACCCCAGUAGUCC